rnacentral:rRNA from 1 species
GACGAACGCUGGCGGCGUGCUUAACACAUGCAAGUCGAACGGAAAGGCCCUGCUUUUGUGGGGUGCUCGAGUGGCGAAAGGGUGAGUAACACGUGAGUAACCUGCCCUUGACUUUGGGAUAACUUCAGGAAACUGGGGCUAAUACCGGAUAGGAGCUCCUGCUGCAUGGUGGGGGUUGGAAAGUUUCGGCGGUUGGGGAUGGACUCGCGGCUUAUCAGCUUGUUGGUGGGGUAGUGGCUUACCAAGGCUUUGACGGGUAGCCGGCCUGAGAGGGUGACCGGCCACAUUGGGACUGAGAUACGGCCCAGACUCCGACGGGAGGCAGCAGUGGGGAAUAUUGCACAAUGGGCGGAAGCCUGAUGCAGCAACGCCGCGUGCGGGAUGACGGCCUUCGGGUUGUAAACCGCUUUCGCCUGUGACGAAGCGUGAGUGACGGUAAUGGGUAAAGAAGCACCGGCUAAAUACGUG